ACUUGGGUGGCUUAGUAGGUUAAGCAUCUGACUUCGGCUCAGAUCAUGAUCUCACUGCUCAUGGGUUCAAGCCCCACAUCAGGCU
rnacentral:tRNA from 1 species